rnacentral:rRNA from 1 species
UACGGGGGGAGCAAGCGUUGUUCGGAUUUACUGGGCGUAAAGGGCGCGUAGGCGGUCAGCACAAGUCGGUUGUGAAAUCUCCGGGCUUAACUCGGAAAGGUCAACUGAUACUGUGCGACUAGAGUGCGGAAGGGGCAACUGGAAUUCUCGGUGUAGCGGUGAAAUGCGUAGAUAUCGAGAGGAACACCUGCGGCGAAGGCGGGUUGCUGGGCCGACACUGACGCUGAUGCGCGAAAGCUAGGGGAGCAAACAGG